rnacentral:rRNA from 1 species
CCUUAGAGUUUGAUCCUGGCUCAGGAUGAACGCUGGCGGCGUGCCUAAUACAUGCAAGUCGAACGAAUCUCUUUUAGAGAUGAGUGGCGAACGGGUGAGUAAUACAUAGGUAACCUGCCCCUGUGCGGGGGAUAACAGGAGGAAACUCCUGCUAAUACCGCAUAGCCAUGAGCACCGCAUGGAGCUCAUGCCAAAUAUCCUUUAUGGGAUAGCGCAGGGAUGGACCUAUGGCGCAUUAGCUGGUUGGCGGGGCAACGGCCCACCAAGGCAACGAUGCGUAGCCGGCCUGAGAGGGCGGACGGCCACAUUGGGACUGAGACACGGCCCAGACUCCUACGGGAGGCAGCAGUAGGGAAUUUUCGGCAAUGGGGGAAACCCUGACCGAGCAACGCCGCGUGAGCGAAGAAGGCCUUCGGGUCGUAAAGCUCUGUUGUAAAGGAAGAACGGCGCAUACAGGAAAUGGUAUGCGAGUGACGGUACUUUACCAGAAAGCCACGGCUAACUACGUGCCAGCAGCCGCGGUAAUACGUAGGUGGCGAGCGUUAUCCGGAAUCAUUGGGCGUAAAGAGGGAGCAGGCGGCCGCAAGGGUCUGUGGUGAAAGACCGAAGCUAAACUUCGGUAAGCCAUGGAAACCGGGCGGCUAGAGUGCGGAAGAGGAUCGUGGAAUUCCAUGUGUAGCGGUGAAAUGCGUAGAUAUAUGGAGGAACACCAGUGGCGAAGGCGACGGUCUGGGCCGCAACUGACGCUCAUUCCCGAAAGCGUGGGGAGCAAAUAGGAUUAGAUACCCUAGUAGUCCACGCCGUAAACGAUGGUCACUAAGUGUCGGGGGUCAAACCCCGGUGCUGCAGUCAACGCAAUAAGUGACCCGCCUGAGUAGUACGUUCGCAAGAAUG